ACGCUCGACACCUACGGGAGCAGCAGUGGGGAAUAUUGCACAAUGGAGGAAACUCUGAUGCAGCGAUGCCGCGUGAGGGAAGAAGGUUUUCGGAUUGUAAACCUCUGUCUUUGGGGACGAUAAUGACGGUACCCAAGGAGGAAGCUCCGGCUAACUACGUGCAGCAGCCGCGGUAAUCUGAGCGGGCUGGACAAGGC
rnacentral:rRNA from 1 species